rnacentral:lncRNA from 1 species
GUCCUUUUCAAUAAGCUUUGUAUUACUUACACACCAAUGCAACGUGUUGUGCAAACAGUUUUAACUCUAAUCUUACUGAAACAGGAGAUUAUGUAACCAGGCCACAAUGCACACAUUGCCUUUUGAAGGGAAGUGUAAAAGGCCGUAAAGUAUUAUGAAAGUGUUGUUACAGGAGUAAAAGCUCUUUAGAAUCAUUCUAACUCCUCCUUUCACAAGAGAAGGAAGUUGUUUAAACUCUGUGCUGUGGUAUAUUAUGCAUUUAAGCCAUAAAAAGAAACUUUGGGAGAUAGAUAUUGCAUGCACAAAUCAUAAAGGGUGCCAUAAUCAUUUGCCUUUCAGAGGUGGAAAAUUAUAUUGGAAGUUAUACAAACGUAUAACAGAAAUGGAACAGACUGAACAGUAUCUAAAAUUAAACAGGUGCCUUUCUAUGAAAAAAAAAUGGGCUAAGAAAUGCCAAACAGGAAGAAUGAAAGGUUUCUGGAAAGCAACUAAUCUGAUGGGAACUUCUGCACGAGUUCUUAUUCAAGAUUUGAUUUUCAAGAGUAUGUCUUCCUUUAGCAACCAUGGGAAUUAACGUCUGAGUUUCUGUGAAUGCACUUGGGUUGUCCAGUCCGGAGAAAAGGAGGCUGAGAGCCAUCUUCGCUGCUGUCUGCAACUUCCUGAGGACAGGAAGCGGAGAGGGAGGUGCCGGCUUCUGCUCCUUGGGAACAGACGGCAGGAUGCACAGCAAAGGCACAAAGCUGAGCCAGGGAAGAGUAUUCCACUCCACUCCACUCCAUUCCACUCCACUCCACUCCAUUCCAUUCCAUUCCAUUCCAUUCCAUUCCAUUCCAUUCCAUUCCAUUCCAUUCCAUUCCACUCCANNNNNNNNNNUCCAUUCCAUUCCAAUUUUAUGUUAUUUGUCAGCCCACAUAGACACACAGUGAAAUUUUUUCUUUAGGUAAAAUAGUUCUUACUUUUCUAUUCAGAACUAAUCCUAAGAUAAUCUUCUUUUACGAGGUAUAACCAAUUUCCCUAUAAUCAAAGAUAACCUCCACUCCCCUCACAAUAAAAUUUUGCUCUAAGAGCCCUCCCCA